AAAGUCUAUAACCGCAAUUUGGGGCUUCAUCUUUAGCGCCUUGUUGGGGAUUUUGUUCUGUAUCAUUACCCAUAAGCUCAAUCUAACAAUCGGAAUCAUUCCUUCGCUUAAUGUAGCUGCUGAUCUUCUCGGCUUCUUCUUCGUCAAAUCGUGGACUGGGUUCUUGUCUAAAUUAGGGUUUUCACCUAAACGCUUUACUAAGCAAGAGAACACUGUUAUUCAGACUUGCGUUGUCUCCUGCUACGGUUGUGCUUAUAGCGGUAACUUUAUCAACAGGAGGAUCAACAUAGCCCAAUUCCACAUAGUCUUCCCAAAAUCAGAUGAAUAGCCCAAUUCCACAUAGUCGAUAUGCAGCAGAUGCACAUUGAUGGCCUCUGACACAUGGUGUUCCAAGCCACCUUCAUGGCUACAAACCUGAAAGACUCUAAAUUUCUGGAUAAUAAGAUGGAUCAUGCCCAUCUCUUAUUUAUGCCUUGGAGCCAAAGUUGAGCCACACACGAAAUUGAAUCAGCUUCAGCCAUUUUUUUCUCGGUAGAACUUUGGUAAGGCAUUCAUUUUAGUGUAGUUUACGUAUAGACAUAGCUAGUCUAGGGAGAUUUGUUGGGGAUUGUUGCUUUGUUUGACAGCUUACCAACUGAGUUGGAUUUUGAAAGGAAAGUAGGGGAAAAUGUUAAAUUUGCUAAAGAAUGAAGGAACUCAGUUGGUUUUUUUUCAAUCUUGUGCAGCUUUCAUGUCGUUUUCCCCUAUGCCAUACCCUUUAGACUGUUUUUAUUCUUGCUUUUGACUCUGUUUAGAGCCUCUUGCUCGUUGUAGAUUGAUUUUAUUUUGUGACUAUAUAUGGCUACAUUAUGGUUAUUAGGUAGGGGUGCUUACAUAGCAUAGUCAAUGGGUAAAAAUCCAGAGUCAUCUUCAUGUUUAAACUAGUCCAAAAACCGCAAAGAGCAACACUUCUGCUUUAGUUGUAUCGUUGAAAUGGUAAGGAUUAGGAUAAUCUUGAUAGGUUUGAGCUGUCUUGUCUUUUUAGAUUUGUAUUAAUGUUGCAAAUUUGAGGCGUGGAAGGUUUGACCGUGUAUCAGGGAAGGUUUCAAGAAAGGAAGAAGUUGAAGAACAAGAGCAUAGAUUAAUUGUCAGGUUGUUUCUGAUUACAUGGAAACUUGAAAGGGUAAGAACAAUCAAGAAAUAGAAGCUAAUCUUGUUUAGUUCAUGCUUGUUUUGUUGUCCUAAGCAGAGAUAAACACUGGUUUUGUUAAUUCACUUCACUCGUAAAUUUUUACGUCAAAUCUAUCAUCUUGUAACACUUGCUUAUUUCAUUAAAUGCAUAACUCUUUCUUUGA